GGUACCAUAGCUCAGAUGGUAGAGCAAAGGACUGAAAAUCCUUGUGUCGCUGGUUCGAUCCCAGCUGGUACCA
rnacentral:tRNA from 1 species